UAUAAUGUUAUUGUUUUCUCAGUAUCACUUUAACUAGGUUUGCUAAUACUUCACCGAAUAUUUAUUGAAAUAUAUAAAAUUUCACUUUCAACGCAUAUCAAUUCUAAAAUGUUUUGUUCAUUCUAAUAAGUAGAUAUUUUUACUAUUUUUAAAAAUCAAGCGAUAAGCAGAAAUUUUAGCUGUGAAGAAAAAGUGAUCUCGAGGUCGCAAGUAUACAGGCGCAUUGGUCCAGAU
rnacentral:misc_RNA from 1 species